rnacentral:rRNA from 1 species
UACGCAGGGUGCGAGCGUUGUCCGGAAUUAUUGGGCGUAAAGAGCUCGUAGGCGGUUUGUCGCGUCUGCCGUGAAAGUCCGGGGCUCAACUCCGGAUCUGCGGUGGGUACGGGCAGACUAGAGUGAUGUAGGGGAGACUGGAAUUCCUGGUGUAGCGGUGAAAUGCGCAGAUAUCAGGAGGAACACCGAUGGCGAAGGCAGGUCUCUGGGCAUUAACUGACGCUGAGGAGCGAAAGCAUGGGGAGCGAACAGG